GCCGCCUUAGCUCAGCCGGUAGAGCACUUGACUUGUAAUCAUGAGGUCUCCGGUUCGAUUCCGGGAGGCGGCU
rnacentral:tRNA from 1 species